GAGGAAAUUCUGGAGGGCAGACACGUUCUGUCUCUAGCUUAGCUCUCACUCGUUAAGAAUCAACAUCGUCAUCCCAAGUAGGAGACCAGAGUCUGUAAUCUCAGAGAGGCUGAGAUGCUGCCCUCCAGUGUGAUGUUUGUCUUCUCCUGAGGAAGUGGAUGCCAUGUGUCACUUUGCAGAUGGAUCAAGUGCAGGAGGAAGUGAGUUCACUCCCAGACUCUCCUAGGACCUCAGUCUUAAGAGCGAUCACAGCUGCCUGUUAACCAGCCUGAAUGCAAAAAGUGAAAAAGCAUUGCCUUCAACUGGAAAAGAAGGGCACCUUUGAAGGAGCUGCUGCAGAGAGGUCAUUGGAGGAAAUCUCAGCAUCCCCCACGCCCUCCCCUCCCUGUGGCUGGAAGCCAUGGGGGGGCUUUCAUGUUAGGUGCCUGUUGGAGACGCAGAGCUCUGCAGCAGCAGGUGAGCUGAUGCUGCAACCUGCUAAACGCCGCUCCUGCGGAGCGCCAGGGCCCAGAGUGCACAUGGCUCUCAGGCUCCGUGAAAAGCUUGCAGUGAGCUCAGCCACUGAAAAGUCACUACGAAGAUGGAAAGCAAAAUGAAAACCGAGUCCUCGGUACCCUAUGUUUAUCUGUCUCUAAGAGAACAUCCUUGGGUUUAUUUAUGAUUUGAGUACUUCAUAAGAAAAGUAGUAUAAAAUAGAAAAUAAUGUGUUGAUGUCCUAUAUAAGUGAAUCUACUCAAUACAAUUUAUAAAG
ensembl:lncRNA novel transcript